rnacentral:rRNA from 1 species
UACGGAGGGAGCUAGCGUUAUUCGGAAUUACUGGGCGUAAAGCGCACGUAGGCGGCUUUGUAAGUUAGAGGUGAAAGCCUGGAGCUCAACUCCAGAAUUGCCUUUAAGACUGCAUCGCUUGAAUCCAGGAGAGGUGAGUGGAAUUCCGAGUGUAGAGGUGAAAUUCGUAGAUAUUCGGAAGAACACCAGUGGCGAAGGCGGACUCACUGGACUGGUAUUGACGCUGAGGUGCGAAAGCGUGGGGAGCAAACAGGG